rnacentral:rRNA from 1 species
UACGGGGGGGGCAAGCGUUGUUCGGAAUUACUGGGCGUAAAGGGCUCGUAGGCGGCCAACUAAGUCAGACGUGAAAUCCCUCGGCUUAACCGGGGAACUGCGUCUGAUACUGGAUGGCUUGAGUUUGGGAGAGGGAUGCGGAAUUCCAGGUGUAGCGGUGAAAUGCGUAGAUAUCGUAAGGAAGACCAGUGGCGAAGGCGGGUCUCUGGACAGUUCCUGACGCUGAGGCACGAAAGCGUGGGUAGCAAACAGG